CUAUACAUGCAAGUCGAACGAAGAGAAAAUAAAGCUUGCUUUAAAUUCUCUUAGUGGCGAACGGGUGAGUAAUACAUAAGCAACCUGCCCAUCAGACUGGGAUAACUAUUGGAAACGAUAGCUAAUACCGGAUAGCUAAUUUGAAGGCAUCUUCGAAUUACUAAAGUUUAGAUACACUGAUGGAUGGGCUUAUGGCGCAUUAGUUAGUUGGUGAGGUAGUGGCUCACCAAGACGAUGAUGCGUAGCCGACCUGAGAGGGUGAACGGCCACAUUGGGACUGAGACACGGCCCAAACUCCUACGGGAGGCAGCAGUAGGGAAUUUUCGGCAAUGGGCGCAAGCCUGACCGAGCAACGCCGCGUGAGUGAAGAAGGCCUUAGGGUUGUAAAGCUCUGUUGUAAAGGAAGAACAGCUUAGAUAGAAUCUAAGUGUGACGGUACUUUACCAGAAAGCCACGGCUAACUACGUGCCAGCAGCCGCGGUAAUACGUAGGUGGCAAGCGUUAUCCGGAAUUAUUGGGCGUAAAGGGUGCGCAGGCGGUUUGAUAAGUUUAAGGUGAAAGCGUGGGGCUCAACCCCAUACAGCCUUAGAAACUGUCAGACUAGAGUACAGAAGAGGGUAGUGGAAUUCCAUGUGUAGCGGUAAAAUGCGUAGAUAUAUGGAGGAACACCAGUGGCGAAGGCGGCUACCUGGUCUGUAACUGACGCUCAAGCACGAAAGCGUGGGGAGCAAAUAGGAUUAGAUACCCUAGUAGUCCACGCCGUAAACGAUGGAUACUAAGUGUUGGGGAAACUCAGUGCUGCAGUUAACGCAAUAAGUAUCCCGCCUGGGGAGUAUGCACGCAAGUGUGAAACUCA
rnacentral:rRNA from 1 species